CCUACGGGGGGCAGCAGUGAGGAAUAUUGGUCAAUGGCCGUAAGGCUGAACCAGCCAAGUAGCGUGAGGGAAGACUGCCCUAUGGGUUGUAAACCUCUUUUAUGCGGGGAUAAAGGUGUCCACGUGUGGAUGUUUGCAGGUACAGCAUGAAUAAGGACCGGCUAAUUCCGUUCCAGCAGCCGCGGUAAUACGGAAGGACCGGGCGUUAUCCGGAUUUAUUGGGUGUAAGGGGAGCGUAGGCCGGUACUUAAGCGUGCCGUGAAAGUUGUUGGCUCAACCAUGAGAGUGCGGCGCGAACUGGAGACCUUGAGUGUGCGGAAGGCAGGCGGAAUGCGUGGUGUAGCGGUGAAAUGCUUAGAUAUCACGAAGAACCCCGAUUGCGAAGGCAGCCUGCCGCAGCGUUACUGACGCUGAAGCUCGAAAGCGCGGGUAUCGAACAGGAUUAGAUACCCUUGUAGUC
rnacentral:rRNA from 1 species